rnacentral:rRNA from 1 species
GAUGAACGCUGGCGGCGUGCCUAAUACAUGCAAGUCGAGCGAACGGACGAGAAGCUUGCUUCUCUGAUGUUAGCGGCGGACGGGUGAGUAACACGUGGAUAACCUACCUAUAAGACUGGGAUAACUUCGGGAAACCGGAGCUAAUACCGGAUGAUAUUUUGAACCGCAUGGUUCAAAAGUGAAAGACGGUCUUGCUGUCACUUAUAGAUGGAUCCGCGCUGCAUUAGCUAGUUGGUAAGGUAACGGCUUACCAAGGCAACGAUGCAUAGCCGACCUGAGAGGGUGAUCGGCCACACUGGAACUGAGACACGGUCCAGACUCCUACGGGAGGCAGCAGUAGGGAAUCUUCCGCAAUGGGCGAAAGCCUGACGGAGCAACGCCGCGUGAGUGAUGGAGGUCUUCGGAUCGUAAAGCUCUGUUAUUAGGGAAGAACAUAUGUGUAAGUAACUGUGCACAUCUUGACGGUACCUAAUCAGAAAGCCACGGCUAACUACGUG